rnacentral:rRNA from 1 species
GAUGAACGCUAGCGAUAGGCCUAACACAUGCAAGUCGAGGGGCAUCACAUGAGGCAGCAAUGCCGAUGGUGGCGACCGGCGCACGGGUGAGUAACACGUAUGCAACCUGCCUUCAACAAGGGGAUAACCCGUUGAAAAACGGACUAAUACCCUAUAAUACAGGGGUCCCGCAUGGGGAUAUUUGUUAAAGAUUGAUCGGUUGAAGAUGGGCAUGCGUUCCAUUAGCUGGUUGGUGAGGUAACGGCUCACCAAGGCAACGAUGGAUAGGGGAACUGAGAGGUUUAUCCCCCACACUGGUACUGAGACACGGACCAGACUCCUACGGGAGGCAGCAGUGAGGAAUAUUGGUCAAUGGACGCAAGUCUGAACCAGCCACGUCGCGUGAAGGAAGACGGCCCUACGGGUUGUAAACUUCUUUUAUACGGGAAUAAAUGCCCCACGCGUGGGGUUUUGCAUGUACCGUAUGAAUAAGGAUCGGCUAACUCCGUGCCAGCAGCCGC